rnacentral:rRNA from 1 species
CCUACGGGGGGCAGCAGUGGGGAAGAUUGCGCAAUGGGCGAAAGCCUGACGCAGCGACGCCGCGUGAGGGAUGAAGGUCUUCGGAUCGUAAACCUCUGUCAGCAGGGAAGAACGGUCACGGUGCUAAGCAGCAGUGAAUUGACGGUACCGACAAAGGAAGCACCGGCUAACGCGGUGCCAGCAGCCGCGGUAAGACGGAGGGUGCGAGCGUUCAUCGGAAUUACGGGGCGUCAAGCGCGCGUAGGCGGUAUGUCAAGUCAAGGGUGAAAUCCCCGCGCUCAACGUGGGAACUGCCUUUGAUACUUGCAACCUGGAGUGUGUGAGAGUAUAGUGGAAUUCCAGGUGUCGGCGU